GGGAUCGUAGCUCAGUGGAUAGAGCGUUGGCUUGCGGAGCCAAAGGUCGGAGGUUCGAAUCCUCCCGGUCUCACCA
rnacentral:tRNA from 1 species